CCUACGGGAGGCAGCAGUGGGGAAUAUUGGACAAUGGGGGCAACCCUGAUCCAGCCAUGCCGCGUGUGUGAAGAAGGCCCUCGGGUUGUAAAGCACUUUCAGUGAGGAAGAACGCCUGGUGGUUAAUACCCAUCAGGAAAGACAUCACUCACAGAAGAAGCACCGGCUAACUCCGUGCCAGCAGCCGCGGUAAUACGGAGGGUGCGAGCGUUAAUCGGAAUUACUGGGCGUAAAGCGCGCGUAGGUGGCUUGAUAAGCCGGUUGUGAAAGCCCCGGGCUCAACCUGGGAACGGCAUCCGGAACUGUCAAGCUAGAGUGCAGGAGAGGAAGGUAGAAUCCCCGGUGUAGCGGUGAAAUGCGUAGAGAUCGGGAGGAAUACCAGUGGCGAAGGCGGCCUUCUGGACUGACACUGACACUGAGGUGCGAAAGCGUGGGUAGCAAACAGGAUUAGAUACCCCUGUAGUC
rnacentral:rRNA from 1 species